GCCGGAGUGGCGAAAUGGCAGACGCUACGGUCUUAAAAACCGUUGGGGGCAACCCCGUACGGGUUCGAAUCCCGUCUUCGGCACCA
rnacentral:tRNA from 1 species